rnacentral:rRNA from 1 species
CCUACGGGAGGCAGCAGUGGGGAAUAUUGGACAAUGGGCGAAAGCCUGAUCCAGCCAUGCCGCGUGUGUGAAGAAGGCCUUCGGGUUGUAAAGCACUUUCAGUGGGGAAGAAAGCCUUGGGGCUAAUACCCUCGAGGAAGGACAUCACCCACAGAAGAAGCACCGGCUAACUCCGUGCCGGCAGCCGCGGUAAUACGGAGGGUGCGAGCGUUAAUCGGAAUUACUGGGCGUAAAGCGCGCGUAGGCGGUCUGAUAAGCCGGUUGUGAAAGCCCCGGGCUCAACCUGGGAACGGCAUCCGGAACUGUCAGGCUAGAGUGCAGGAGAGGAAGGUAGAAUUCCCGGUGUAGCGGUGAAAUGCGUAGAGAUCGGGAGGAAUACCAGUGGCGAAGGCGGCCUUCUGGACUGACACUGACGCUGAGGUGCGAAAGCGUGGGUAGCAAACAGGAUUAGAUACCCCGGUAGUC